GAUGAAGAACGCAGCGAAAUGCGAUAAGUAAUGUGAAUUUCAGAAUUCAGUGAAUCAUCGAAUCUUUGAACGCAUCUUGCGCUCCUUGGUAUUCCGAGGAGCAUGCCUGUUUGAGUGUCAUUAACGUUCUCAACCACAUUACUACAUAUGUGGCUUGGAUGUGGGGGUUUGCAGGCUUUCUCUGAGGGUCUGCUCCUCUGAAAUGCAUUAGUGGUAUUCCUGAGCUUUACUACAGAUGUGAUAAUUUAUCUACAUCCCAAAAGUAUGCUUCAGCAACACCGCUCCUAACAAGCGAAAGCACAUUUUGAUGAAUUUGACCUCAAAUCAGGUAGGACUACCCGCUGAACUUAAGCAUAUCAAUAAGCGGAGGA
rnacentral:misc_RNA from 1 species